UCGCGGGUGACUGCGAAUCUGAAGGAAGCUGUAGGCAAAGCGCUGGCCUGAGGUAUACGAAGCGAAUUUGAGGCGAACGUGCGGGGUGAGCAGGCAAAUAGCUGCGAAGCCCGAUACCUGUACGGAAGGCACGUGCGUACAUUCGACGGGCAUAAGCGUGAAGGUGAGUGUG
rfam:Betaproteobacteria bacterium RIFCSPLOWO2_02_FTLL_67_19 rifcsplowo2_02_scaffold_17150, whole genome shotgun sequence.